rnacentral:rRNA from 1 species
UGGGGGAUAUUGCACAAUGUGCGAAAGCCUGAUGCAGCGACGCCGCGUGGUGGAUGAAGGCCUUCGGGUUGUAAACUUCUUUUGCUCUGAACAAGGCGCACCAUGGGGUGUGUUGAGUGUAGGGGUUGAUUAGCGCCGGCUAACUACGUGCCAGCAGCCGCGGUAAUACGUAGGGCGCGAGCGUUGUCCGGAAUUAUUGGGCGUAAAGGGCUUGUAGGUGGCUGGUUGCGUCUGUCGUGAAAGCUCAUGGCUUAACUGUGGGUUUGCGGUGGGUACGGGCUGGCUUGAGUGCAGUAGGGGAGGCUGGAAUUCCUGGUGUAGCGGUGGAAUGCGCAGAUAUCAGGAGGAAUACCGGUGGCGAAGGCGGGUCUCUGGGCUGUUACUGACACUGAGGAGCGAAAGCAUGGGGAGCGAACAGG